UUGAAUUUGCAGAGGAAACACACAAAAUAGCAUUCUCCAUGUUGAAAGAUCUUGAUUUAAAAGAGAAGACUAUCAGAGUGGCAAUGGUUUGGAGUCCCAGGAAGUAGGUACCAUUUUACAGAUGUGGAAACAGAUUUUAAGAAAAAAGGAAAAGCUAUUUCAUUCUAAUGGAAAUUUCACUAAUGAAUUUCAGAGACUGCAUUUUAUAUUCAAUUUUCAAGACCAGUUUAAAAGAAAACAUUUUAUUUCCUUAUCUGCAGGUACUACCAGGAGCUUUUCUGGUGGCUCAGACAGUAAAGAAUC